ACGAACGCUGGCGGCUGCUUAACACAUGCAAGUCGAACGGAGUGGCGAACGGGUGAGUAACGCGUGAGCAACCUGCCUAUGACAGUGGGAUAGCCUCGGGAAACCGGGAUUAAUACCGCAUAGUCAUAGAUGGGCUCGAGUCUGAUUAGCUAGUUGGUGCGAUAACAGCCCACCAAGGCGACGAUCAGUAGCCGGUCUGGGAGGAGGAACGGGGAAAGUGGAACUGGGACACGGUCCAAACACCUACGGGAGGCAGCAGUGGGGAAUAUUGCACAAUGGGGGAAACACUGAUGCAGCGACGCGGCGUGAACGAAGAAGGUAUGCGGAUCGUAAAGUUCUGUCCUAUGGGAAGCAGUACCAUAGAAGAAAGCUCCGGCUAAAUACGUGCCAGCAGCCGCGGUAAUUC
rnacentral:rRNA from 1 species